AGGCUUCCAAGCUUUUAAAUACCACAAUUUAAAAGUAUAGUGUUUAAUAGCCUCAACUUAAAAGUAAUUUUUUUAUAUACCAAAAUGAAUUAAAAGUCUAAAAUAUCCUCAUAUUAUAUAAUUAAAAAAAGUAAAAAAAAAAGAAAGGAAAAUAGGUCAAAAUUUGGUCCCCACCAACCCCCAAAUUUCAAAUUCCUCCCCACUUUCUCUCUCUACAAUUUUAGACCCACAAUCUUUCAUGUCCGACGAUCGAAGAACCACCUCU
rnacentral:lncRNA from 1 species